rnacentral:lncRNA from 1 species
AUAAAACCAAUAUAUAGUAUAUAAGUGGGUGCAAAUCUCACUUUACAAGUCAAUUUUGUAAGGUUGACUUAGGCUUAGAGUCCACUUCUUAAUAAUAUUCUUCAUCAUGUUUUUCUUUGUUUCCAUCCCCAUCAUCUUCUUCUUCUGGUUCCAAUAAAUCCAACUCUUUUCGUUCUCUUUCGAGCCCCACUGAUAUCAUCCAACUAUCCAACCUUCACCCUUCGAUCUCCCUAAGUCCCUUUCCACCUUUGCGCUUUGGAACUAUUAAUGACUUAUGGAAGUCAUGUAUAUUCAUAUUUGAUGAUUGAAUAAUCUGAUCUGGUAGGUAAGACGCUUAGAUCUGAAAAUCUCAAAAACAUAAAAUGCUACAAGAUAUUUCUUAGACAUAUUCUUCAUAUAGC